rnacentral:rRNA from 1 species
GACGAACGCUGGCGGCGUGCUUAACACAUGCAAGUCGAACGGAAAGGCCUCUUUCGGGGGGUACUCGAGUGGCGAACGGGUGAGUAACACGUGAGUAACCUGCCCUUGACUUUGGGAUAACUUCAGGAAACUGGGGCUAAUACCGGAUAGGAGCUCCUGCUGCAUGGUGGGGGUUGGAAAGUUUCGGCGGUUGGGGCUGGACUCGCGGCUUAUCAGCUUGUUGGUGGGGUAGUGGCUUACCAAGGCUUUGACGGGUAGCCGGCCUGAGAGGGUGACCGGCCACAUUGGGACUGAGAGACGGCCCAGACGCCUACGGGAGGCAGCAGUGGGGAAUAUUGCACAAUGGGUGGAAGCCUGAUGCAGCAACGCCGUGUGCGGGAGGACGGCCUUCGGGUUGUAAACCGCUUUCGCUCAUGACGAAGCUUUGUGUGACGGUAGUGGGUAAAGAAGCACCGGCUAACUACGUG